rnacentral:rRNA from 1 species
AACGAACGCUGGCGGCAUGCCUAACACAUGCGAGUCGAACGAGACCUUCGGGUCUAGUGGCGCACGGGUGCGUAACGCGGGGGAACCUACCCUUAGGUUCGGAAUAACUCCCCGAAAGGGGUGCUAAUACCGGAUAAUCUCUUCGGACCAAAGAUUUAUCGCCUUUGGAUGGGCCCGCGGUGGAUUAGCUAGUUGGUAGGGUAAAAGCCUACCAAGGCGACGAUCCAUAGCUGGUCUGAGAGGAUGAUCAGCCACACUGGGACUGAGACACGGCCCAGACUCCUACGGGAGGCAGCAGUGGGGAAUAUUGGACAAUGGGCGAAAGCCUGAUCCAGCAAUGCCGCGUGAGUGAUGAAGGCCUUAGGGUUGUAAAGCUCUUUUACCCGGGAUGAUAAUGACAGUACCGGGAGAAUAAGCUCCGGCUAACUCCGUG